GGAGUUGGUAACUCAGUGGUAGAGUGCUUUGUAUCUAUGAUGUCCUGGGUUCAAUCCCCAGCUUCUCCC